GGGGCUGAACGGUUUCGACUUCGCGCAUCGAAUCAAGGGAAGCGUGCCGGUGCAGGCAAGAGACCACCGUAAGCGUCGUUGCAACCAAUUAAGCGCCGAUUCCAAUCAGCGCGACUACGCCCUCGCUGCCUAAGUAGCGACUGCGUGUCUGUCAGACCGGGAGCGCCCUCGGCCCGGACCCUGGCAUCAGCUAGAGGGACCCACCCACGGGUUCGGUCGCGGGACCCGUGGGGACACCAAACAGCGACUGGGAUCGUCAUCUCGGCUUGUCUGCGUGACCGAGAGAUCCGAGUAGAGGCAUAGCGGACUGCGCACGGAGAAGUCUUGAGGGAAUGCCGUAGGACCCGGGUUCAAUUCCCGGCAGCUCCACAA
rnacentral:tmRNA from 1 species